GACGAACGCUGGCGGCGUGCCUAAUACAUGCCAGUAGAACGCUGAAGGAGGAGCUUGCUUCUCUGGAUGAGUUGCGAACGGGUGAGUAACGCGUAGGUAACCUGCCUGGUAGCGGGGGAUAACUAUUGGAAACGAUAGCUAAUACCGCAUAAUAGCAGUUGUUGCAUGACAACUGUUUGAAAGGUGCAAUUGCACCACUACCAGAUGGACCUGCGUUGUAUUAGCUAGUUGGUGGGGUAACGGCUCACCAAGGCGACGAUACAUAGCCGACCUGAGGGGGUGAUCGGCCACACUGGGACUGAGACACGGCCCAGACUCCUACGGGAGGCAGCAGUAGGGAAUCUUCGGCAAUGGACGGAAGUCUGACCGAGCAACGCCGCGUGAGUGAAGAAGGUUUUCGGAUCGUAAAGCUCUGUUGUAAGAGAAGAACGAGUGUGAGAGUGGAAAGUUCACACUGUGACGGUAUCUUACCAGAAAGGGACGGCUAACUACGUG
rnacentral:rRNA from 1 species